GACACUUUGUGUAGCACCCUUCCAAAUCUCAGUGGACAUUCUCAGUAGAACAUAUGCAGUAAUAAGACUGGUAGCAUGUAGGAUUGCAUAACACUGAACUGUAAACAUGGCUGAAACACAAGGUUCCACCAUUGUAACUGUAUGUAUACAACAGAGAAUUGAGAAAAGAAUAAAACCCCAUUUAGACAUACACUUUGAACCUGUGGUGGCUGCUCAAUGUCACCUCAAACUGCACGUGCACUAUGCCGACCCUCGUUCACUGUGUGCUGCAGACCACAUUCUCUCCCAUAAAGUUUGGCCAGUUAGUUUUUACGUAAUAAUAUUGAAAGAAACACUGACAUGUAGGCAGACAGAUAGACAGACUGUGAUGUUUACAUACUGGGUUCCUUCCUUGGCACAGGAAAAAUACUUUACUUUUGUCUUUCCUGCAGGAACGAACCAGGCGCCAUAUCUGCCAAGAACUGCUUGGAGGUAAAACUGGCUUCGAGGUCUUAUAGUGGGCUUUUGGCAGUUACAAGACGGAAAAUGUGGGUACGGAGACAGACCCAAAGUUAAUCUCUUGUGACAUAUUUCCCAGAAUGAAUACUGCCAAUAGGAACUCCUCAAUCAUGACGUUCAGGCUGAAGCUGUCGUACUGUGCAGUAUUCACAUGUAAGUUUUAUUAAUUCCUUAUCCUAAAGAUUUAAAGGAGAUCCCUGAACAUUUUAAAGUUCACAGAAAUGCUGACAGGUGCCAGUCAGGCGUAGACUGCGUAAUCGUCAAUAAAGGCCUGACAGGAAAAAUAAAACUCCACACAGCCGUGGUACCUGGGUGUGCCAUGGGUGUGCAGAGGCUUAACAGAACAUGUUAAUCUCCAGAGAUUUGUCAGUGGGUUCUUUUUGAACUAAUAGCAUAGCGGACGCAUAGAGGAACCUGGGUCCUCGCUAAGCCUCUUUCAUAUUUUACAUUACAACAGCACAAUAAGUUGUACACUUUGAAAAGUGUACAGUUAAUUUCAGAUACAGCGUUUUUUUUAUGUGUGCUAGCAUGAGAAGGGGCCCCUACAUACCCACAGGCCCAGGCUGUUGUGCUAAAAAAGUGGGUCCAAGGCACAAAGCCAAGGGACACACACUACAGUCUGGCUAUCACACACACACACACACACACCUGUGGACCUUUUUCACACAUACUCAUAUAGACAUAUACGAAUAGUUAAUACAGUAACUAUUGAUUUUCCAGCAGAACUUUUUUGCUGAACCAGUUUUAGACCAGUGCUGUUGUUAUAGUGUGAGCUUAUUAAUAACUGUAAUAUAAAUUAAUUCAUAAUAGUUGUUAAUAUAUUAUCUCUAUUUACAAUUAGAAAAAACAAAGGGUUACAUUAGGGUUUAAUUCCAUGGUUGCAGACAAUUUCUUAUAUAAUCAAAGACUCCCACUCUGCGGUUUCCCCUUCCACAGGGGGCACUGGUGAGACACUGGGCACUAUGGAGUUGCCCCCCACCCCCCCAAAAAAUAAAUAAAAAUCACAUUUUGUGGGUAAAAUAUUUGUCUUCUGAUAACUUUGUCUGAUCAAAGCAGCUGAGCAACAGAUGUUGUUUCAUUUUACAGGUUGUGAUGUAUCCACAUAUCUCUGUGUACGUAUUAUAAACGUCGAGGUAUCACCAGGAGUAACAAAAUCUGCUAGUUUGAAACGUUAGCAGAGCAGCCUCCUGAUAGCAGAAAGUUACACUGCUGUGAGGGCGGGGGCCAUCUGCUGCACCUCCACAUGAACUGCAACCAUUUUCUAUCCAAUGGGAUUAACGUGAUAACCUGUAUUUGCUCUGAUAAUACUUGUGCGUGCACACAGUAUUAUAGUGAUAAAACAUUAACUAUUUGGUCAUGCGAUUCUGUAACGCUUCUCAUUCUGGCCAGCCCUUUGUGUAAACUGUAUGCUCCGCACACACACACACACACACACACACACACACAGCUCCAAACACGAAAAACAAGUUCUGCUCAAUAUGCGCGAAGACAAUGAAAAACCUCGACCAAGUUUUCCAAGGGCGUGCCGCAAACGUUCGUGCAGAUGGGCCGUGUAGGCAGGCGUCCAGGAGGAAGCUGUUCCAGAUGGAGCGCAGUCCCGCCGAGGUCAGCAUGCGGCGCCACUCUCCGCAGCCAGCGGACCGAGAGCAGCUGAGCAGCGAAACGACGCGCUUCAGCAGAACCACCGAGUCGUACAGGGCAAGGAAGAGGCAGUUGGAGAAGAAACCGGGUAGUAUCUGGAGUGUCACCAGCAGAUCCUCGCCCGCCGUUCCCAUCUUCUGUUUGUGCGUUUACACGACCGCUGGCCAAUUCCUCCACCACAGCUCUUAUCUGCUCAGCUCAUAGUUUGGGCUCUGUUUCGUGCACUGCGCCAGAGUCUGUGCGCAGAACGAGAAAAGUGUUUGGAAUGCGUCUCGCAAAGCGUCUCUGUUCAUCAGCUCGACAA